rnacentral:lncRNA from 1 species
CACUGAGAGAUCCUAAAAUAUCCUUAAUCAAACUAAUGUUGAAAUUUGUGUGUACUUUUGAAGUCAAAUGUAUCUUGAGUAUGAGAAUCCUUUUUAAAGUGGUAAUUCAUACACAGAACAUACCCUGCUGUCUGGUAAUCACUGCUUUGCUCUGAAGUGUAAAGUAGAGGCAAAGACAACAAAAAGCUCAUAACCUAAAAGAGAGAGAGAGGGAGAGCAUGUGCACAUAAACACCUAUGCUAUGACUAGGCCAGACACUAACCAGUACUGAACAAAGGUUUUGCCAAGUAAGGACCAUCUGAAACAUCAGAAAUAUAUGUCUAUGCAGUUUGUGUAUGUACAUACUUUACAUGAACAGCAUUUAGAAAAUUUGUAUUUUGGCCACUGGGGCGGUUCAGUCAGUUAAGUGUCUGCCUUCGGAUCAGGUCUUGAUCCCCACAUAGGGCUCCCUGCUCAUCAGGGAGUCUGCUUCUCUUGCUCCAUCUGCCUGCUGCUUACCCUGUCUGUGCUCUCUCUGUCAAAUAAAUAAAUCUUUAAGAUAAAAAAAGAAAAUUUGUAUUUUAUUUCAUAGUAACUACAUAUAUUGACACAAACUACAUAUAUUGACACUAUUGAAAUCUCUCCUUUCAACUAAAAACUUUACAGUUUUUUUGAGCCAUCCAUUGUUCCAGGUAAUGAGGAAAUUCCUACCCUCAAGCAGUGGGAGAAACAGUCAAGCAAACAGACAUUUCUGCAGGUGGCCAAAAAUAAGACAAAAAUGUAUUCAGUGAAGUCCCUCAAGGAUACAGAAUGUUCAGUCCAGAGAAAAGAAACACAGAAGUGAUCAAAAGAAAUCUUACAUUAAGAAAAGCAUCAGAGGCAUCCAGGUGGCCUAGUCCAUUAAGCAUCUGCCUUUGGCUUGGGUCAUGAUCUCAGGUCCUGGGAUGGAGCCUUCCAUUGGGCUCCCUGCUCAGCAGGAAGUCUGUGUCUCCCGCUCCCUCUGCCCUUCCCCAUCUCGUGCUCUCUCUCUCACACGUAAAUAAAUACAAUCUUAGGGGUGCCUGGGUGGCUCAGUGGUUGAGCGUCUGCCUUCAGUUCAGGGCCUCAUCAAUUCCCAAUUCUGAGAAUUGAGUCCCGCAUCAGGCUCCCUGUGAGGAGCCUGCUUCUCCUUCUGUCUCUGUCUCUGCCUCUGUCUGUGUCUCUCAUCAGUAAAUAAAUAAAAUCUUAAAAAAAAGAAAACAUCUGUAUUUAUUUCAGUGAGGGGUGUGUAUGUGUAUGUGUGUGCUUACACACUUGUGCACACAGUAGGAGAGAGCUAAGAUAUUAAGUAGGAGGUUUAGAGCCUUCUGAUAUAGGGAACAUAUGCUUUGCUACUUAUCACCCUGACCCGGAUCUGGUUUUAAAGACUCUACUAGUCUAUGCCUCAAAUCCUUUUUUCCCAAAGCCCAUCAAAUCGGUAGCAAAUGUGAAACAUUUGCUGGCCUGUCCACCUAAUCCAUCAUAGUACAAUACAAAAAGAUACGAAGAGACUGAGGUGGAUAAAGGAAAUCAAUACCCGUUUCCUGUUCUUUACCUUGAGAUCCUUUGUCUGGUUUCACUAUGUCUUCAACAGAAUAAGAAACAUAGCUUGAAUUCCCAAUCAAAAUCAGAUAAAAUGCAG